rnacentral:rRNA from 1 species
ACGCUCGACACCUACGGGGGGCAGCAGUGGGGAAUAUUGCACAAUGGGGGAAACCCUGAUGCAGCGACGCCGCGUGGAGGAAGAAGGUCUUCGGAUUGUAAACUCCUGUUGUUGGGGAAAAAGAGGAUGGUACCCAACAAGGAAGUGACGGCUAACUACGUGCCACAGCCGCGGUAAUCUGAGCGGGCUGGCAAGGC